rnacentral:rRNA from 1 species
GUGUAGCGGUGGAAUGCGCAGAUAUCAGGAGGAACACCAAUGGCGAAGGCAGGUCUCUGGGCCAUUACUGACACUGAGGAGCGAAAGCGUGGGGAGCGAACAGGAUUAGAUACCGUGGUAGUACACGCCGUAAACGGUGCGCACUAGUUGUGGGAACCUUCCACGGUUUCUGCGACGCAGCUAACGCAUUAAGUGCCCCGCCUGGGGAGUACGAUCGCAAGAUUAAAACUCAAAGGAAUUGACGGGGCUCCGCACAAGCAGCGGAGCAUGCGGCUUAAUUCGACGCAACGCGAAGAACCUUACCAAGGCUUGACAUAUACAGGAAUAUGGCAGAAAUGUCAUAGCCGCAAGGUCUGUAUACAGGUGGUGCAUGGUUGUCGUCAGCUCGUGUCGUGAGAUGUUGGGUUAAGUCCCGCAACGAGCGCAACCCUCGUUCUGUGUUGCCAGCAUUUAGUUGGGGACUCACAGGAGACUGCCGGGGUUAACUCGGAGGAAGGUGGGGAUGACGUCAAAUCAUCAUGCCCCUUAUGUCUUGGGCUGCACGCAUGCUACAAUGGCUGGUACAAACGGCUGCGAUACCGCAAGGUGGAGCGAAUCCGAUAAAGCCAGUCUCAGUUCGGAUUGGGGUCUGCAACUCGACCCCAUGAAGUCGGAGUUGCUAGUAAUCGUAGAUCAGCAACGCUACGGUGAAUACGUUCCCGGGGCUUGUACACACCGCCCGUCACGUCACGAAAGUCGGUAACACCCGAAGUCAGUGGCCCAACCGUAAGGGGGGAGCUGCCGAAGGUGGGAUCGGUGAUUGGGACGAAGUCGUAACAAGGUAACCGU